UCCUGUAACUUGGAACUGGAGAGGAGGCAAGAUGCUGGCAUAGCUGUUGAACUGCGAACCUGCUAUGCCAACAUAUUGCCAUCUCUCUUGUCCG
ensembl:miRNA MIR31 microRNA 31